rnacentral:rRNA from 1 species
GACGAACGCUGGCGGCGUGCUUAACACAUGCAAGUCGAACGAAGUGGCGAACGGGUGAGUAACGCGGAAUCAACAUGCCCUUCAGAGGGGGACAACAGUUGGAAACGACUGCUAAUACCGCAUACUGACGGGGGGGAGUGCGUCUGAUUAGCUAGUUGGAGGGGUAACGGCCAACAAAGGCGAUGAUCAGUAGCCGUUUUGGGAGGAUGAACGGCCACAUGGGGCCUGAGACACGGCCCAGAUUCCUACGGGAGGCAGCAGUGUGGAAUCUUCCGCAAUGGACGAAAGUCUGACGGAGCAACGCCGCGUGAGUGAUGACGGCCUUCGGGUUGUAAAGCUCUGUUAAUCGGGACGCGGUACCGGAAUAGAAAGCCACGGCUAACUACGUGCCAGCCGCCGCGGUAAUAC